rnacentral:rRNA from 1 species
UACGAAGGGGGCGAGCGUUGUUCGGAAUUACUGGGCGUAAAGGGCUCGUAGGCGGCCAACUAAGUCAGACGUGAAAUCCCUCGGCUUAACCGGGGAACUGCGUCUGAUACUGGAUGGCUUGAGUUUGGGAGAGGGGUGCGGAAUUCCAGGUGUAGCGGUGAAAUGCGCAGAUAUCAGGAGGAACACCGGUGGCGAAGGCGGGUCUCUGGGCCGAUACUGACGCUGAGGAGCGAAAGCGUGGGGAGCGAACAGG